UACACGUAAUUAAAAUUUGUUCAUUUAUUUAGAACGAUUAUGCAAAUUGAAGAAAAUCAGAAAAUUACAUUACGAAAAUGGAUGCAUCUGGUCGCCAUUUUGGAUCUUUCUCCCCCUUCUGUUCGCGUCGGAAGUAACGACACGGAAUAGGGAAGGAUGAAUGUUGGUGGCCAGAGCAAGCACACAUCACUCGCAUGUUCAGAGCAGCCACCAAAAUAAAAGAAAAAGAGAGAGACAGACGUGAAAGAGGCAUAGAGUAACAGAGGCUUACAUAAUGACUUUUGUAGAGAACUAGACCACUGGCAAGUCAGGGAGAGAUCAAGGCCACUUUGGAAUUAGAAGGGAAAUGAGGGCUUCAACAGACCAGAGCAGGUAUAACUGCUGAAGAUAAUGUGAAAAUAUGGAUGCAGCAAACUAAGAUGUGUGUUGUAAGUGUGUGAAUUCAAAGUCAUAUAAACCAUUACGGUGCAUGAAGGCCUAAAAACACCGACAACCUGAGACAGUGUUGUGCUGUGUAUGAAAUCCGAGGGACAAUUAGCAAAUAACAUGCAGAGUGUUGGAGUAGAUAAACAACAUUUGUUUCAUUAUAAAUGUAUUUAUGAAUAUUGUACUCAACUGAAUAUUAACAGAUAAUUUUAUGAUUUUUCAUAA